rnacentral:rRNA from 1 species
UACGUAGGGGGCAAGCGUUGUCCGGAAUCAUUGGGCGUAAAGCGCGCGUAGGCGGCCCGGUAAGUCCGUUGUAAAAGUCAAAGGCUCAACCUUUGAAUGCCGAUGGAUACUGCCGGGCUAGAGUCCGGAAGAGGCGAGUAGAAUUCCUGGUGUAGCGGUGGAAUGCGCAGAUAUCAGGAGGAAUACCCAUAGCGAAGGCAGCUCGCUGGGACGGUACUGACGCUGAGGCGCGAAAGCGUGGGGAGCGAACAGG